ACGUCGCGCUCUGGUCUGCGGGGAGCGCCGGAAUGGGGACGCGGUCAGGCCUGAUUAGAGACCUGGCUCACCCCGGGGCCCCCGUGGGAGUCAGGGCUGGGAAGCACCCGGAGGAGCCCACCAGACCGGGGUGCCCACGUGUGCCCCGCAUGCCAACAUCUGGAGAGGGGAAGGGAAGGGGCGGCGAGCGCUUCCCUUGGAGCUGAAACAAAACGGGGAGGGGUUUGGGUGCGGCUCACAAGCUCCGCGGAGGGAGCCGCCAAACUUUGAGCAGUCCCCAAAUGCCCGGAAUGAGCUUGGUUUAUUCACCACAGGUGCUUCCCUUAGGAAUCCGAGUCACCCUUAUAAGAUCACCGACCUCCGGGUCACAGACCUGCCAAAAAUGACAGAGGGUGUUUGUAGAGACUCAUUCCCACUUUGGGCACAUCAGACUUCCCCUCUGGACUUCUCUGUUUCCCAUGGCCCGUCUAGAAAAGAAGGCUGAUUCCUCCCGAAAAGCUCAGGAAUGUUGCAUUCCUGAACUGGAAGGAAGCUGCAAGGUCAUUCCAUCCAACUCCCUCCACUCUGCCAUGAAUCCAAGGGCGCCAGAAGGGCCUCUACCCAAUCUGGGGGAUCACCAAGGCCCUGGCUAACAAUGGCCACUGCACCCUGACCCUGGACACGUUGCAGCUCCUGACAUUCACCCAACUGCCUCAGCUCUCUGGGGACCCCAGACUCUGUGUGUCCGAGCCACUCCAAGGAGCCAGCUUCGCCUACAGCCUGCAUCUAUCCAGGACAGCCUGACUCCACUCCCCAGUCCCUCGAGAGGGGUUUCAGUUCCUGUCUCAGCCAAGCCUGUCUCAGGGCCUGGGGACAGAACUUAGGCUCCAGCCGCCCACCUGGCUGGGCAUUAACACUGGAGCCACAGCCUUCCUCAGAUGGGCAAAGGUUGCAGAAUCUUUUCUCUGAGUCCGUUUCCAGUAAAUUGGGUUGUAUAAUAAAGAUAGUCUGGACUUUCUCCUUAA